GGGUUCGGAAAGUGAGAAAGUGAGCUACGAGUAUCGUGAGCCCACAAAAUCUCAGAGAAAUCUUCAACAUCCUCUCAAGCAUGUCUGUUGAUGAUCUGGAGCAUUCAAAGAAUCGACAGACAUCGAUCGAAAGAGUUCAAUCAGCAUCGACCGUCAAAAGGGCUCCACAACGAGCUAGCACUCGUGAGGAGUCGAUCAGACCGGGAGCUUCGUGUGGAUGAUCCGCA
rnacentral:lncRNA from 1 species